CCUUUAGCUACAAUACUUAAGCAAGCAGCUUAGACAGAGGGACGAGCUGCUCAUUUCUGAGUUUCUCCCAUGUAUACGUGUUAUUAAACUUGGUAUUAUUUUCUCCUGCUAACCUGUCUUGUUGAUUAUUUGGCCAGCCAUAAGAACCUUAAGGGAAAGGGCAGAGGGGGAUUCUCCCUCUUCCCCUGACAACCUCCAAGAUAUAUUGUUAACUGAAUAAUGCAAGAUACAAACCAAGCCUUAUUUGUUUAAAAAUGAGUAAAAGGAAAUAUGCAUUUACAUUUUUUUCAUUUCGCAUAAGAUAAUUUUAUAAGGAAACAAAAGAAAAUGAACAAUUCUUCGCUAAGUGGGACCUAUAAUGAUGUCUCAGAUGAGUCAGUCAAAAUGCAAGAACAAAAUGAUAGUGCUGAUAUUUCCAGCCAGCCCAGGAAUGGGAGUGUAGGGCUCACUCUCAGGAAAUUGAAGGGUUCACUUCUGGGAACUUCUUCACUGCAGCCUGGAGACCUGAAGCCAGCUGGGACUAAAUCCCUUCCCAGGAAGUAUCCCCAAGGGAGCUCACAUCUCAUAACUGCCCUGGAUUCCCCAGCUCCUUACAACCUGUGCUCCAACCUCAGGCACAGAUGGUCAGCAUUUGGCUUAAUCAUCAGUGACCUUAAAAGUCACCUGUUGAAGAUUUCAGUGUCAAGAUGAAAAGACCUUCAAUUCCUGAGUCACUGAUUAGAGAAGAGCUGUCCAGGAGAACUUUCCAACCAGCAACAUCACUUAGGACUUCAUAUGAAUAAGAAAUAAACUUGUAUUGUGUUAGACC